rnacentral:rRNA from 1 species
CACGUAGUUGGCCGCACCUUCUUCUGCAGGUACCGUCAUUUUCGUUCCUGCUGAAAGCGGUUUACAACCCGAGGGCCUUCUUCCCGCACGCGGCGUUGCUGCCUCAGGCUUGCGCCCAUUGGGCAAGAUUCCCCA